rnacentral:lncRNA from 1 species
AACAAUGCUUUUUUGGCGACAUUAUAGUACAGUUACACUUUGUAAACAAUGCUUUUAUAGGCCAUAGAGCAUACACUUUUUCAAAGAGUUUAAUUAUGUAUGUACUUAUAUUAGACUUUUUGGUUAUUUAAAUGCCAGAUUAAAGUAGAGGAGUAGAAAAUAGUAUUUUAUGCAACAGUUGUAUAAGAAGGGUCAAAAAAUGCGAGUGGCGUGAGUUGCGAUGUGAGCCUUGGCGAACAUCGCAAUAAGAGACGCCACGAGCACUUUUUGACCUAGUUAUACAACGUUGCAUACAAUACUUUUUCUACGACGACGUAAUUUUAAAUGAAACAAAAAUUAUACAAAGAAAAAUUUUAUUUAUAAAAAUUAUUUUCCAACGCGCGGGAAAAUGGCGGCAAAUGUAUACUUUUUUUUUAUAGUAUAUCUAUGGCACCAAACAAAGUAAAGGUGCCAGUUUCCAGGUCAAAAAAAAAAACAACAACAAUGCUUUUUUGGCGACAUUAUAGUACAGUUACACUUUGUAAACAAUGCUUUUAUAGGCCAUAGAGCGUACACUUUUUCAAAGAGUUUAAUUAUGUAUGUACUUAUAUUAGACUUUUUGGUUAUUUAAAUGCCAGAUUAAAGUAGAGGAGUAGAAAAAAUUA